UGAAAUGCUACAAUCUCCUCUUGUCUAUGGUGUUUUUCUGCAAUAGUUCCCUACGCAAUCAUUGUAGUAGAAUAAAGGAAAUAAUCUAGGGAUAGUGAUUCAAUAAAUAACAGGUGCCCUGUCUAGAGCGUACGCGUCCUUGAGCCACGCACCUGCAUGAUGACCGCAUACCGAGAGACUAUUGUUUCAGGUUGACCUUGUCUAGAGGAGCAUUAGUGGAAAAAAAACUGUGUAGCCCUGAGACAAUAGGAUGCCGACACGACCAAUGAGACUGGCCUGCAGGGGGCGCAAGGAUUCACUUCUCUCUUGGACACUGACGGGUGUAGACACGGUAAUUAUGAUCCUGGCGUUGGCCGUCAGUGGAAGAGCGUAGCUUAGGUGGGGUUCUGUCUGCCUCUGAUGGGGUGUGGAUGUAUGGUUCGUCACUGGUGAAUGGUGUUCGACGAUGCAGGUGGAUUUUGUGACGAGCGGAUUUACAAUGAGGGAAUGCUGUGAACGGGAAAAAUGAUGGUGAGUGCCUUUUUCACUCUGUUCAAGUGUUCGUUUUCCUCUGUUGCCCAACAGUCGUGCGAAUUUGUCCUGACGUGUCCUGACAUGCCCCGAUAUGCAUGCUUUCCUUUGUUAACGCUUUGUAUUUUGUCUUUUUUGACAAGGAACAUUGUCGUCUUGACGAUAGUGCUGCCCUGAGUUCUGCGCGCGUUGAUUUGUUAAGUGCCUAGUCCUCUUAUUAGCCGUUGAUGGAGUUACAUGUUAGGAUGUUUUGUUCUUUUGCAAGUCUCAUUUAGUAAGACUUUGGAAUUCCUACGAUCAGUUUUCAUGCAUGGUGCUCUUCUGCAAUAGUUUCCUAUGCAAUGGUUAUAGAAGAAUAAAGGAAAUAAUCUUGGGAUAGUGAUUCAAUAAAUAAUAGGUCCCCUGCUAGAGCGCACGCGUCCUUGAGCCACGCAGGUGCAUGAUGACGUCAUACCGUGGCUUCACUGCAGAUUGACCAAAGGAGCAUUAGUGGAAAAAAAAAAACAGUGUAGCCCUGAGACAAUAGGAUGAUGUCUGGACCAAUGAGAACUGCCAGCAGGGGGCGCAGGAAUGCUCUUCUCACUUAGCCUCACGACCAAUGAGAACGGCCAGCAGGGGGCGCAGGAAUGCUCUUCUCUCUUAGCCUCUCGCAGGUGGCGGUAGGAGCGCGCAGAGGGCGCUACGAGCGCGCGCGCGCGCGCAUGCGCGGUCGGGUGGAGCAGAGGGCGCUAGGAGCGCGCGCAUGCGUAGCACCCGUAGAGUGGCGCUUACGUCAGUCCACCUCUGGCUCUCGUUGGGAGAAGACGUGCGGUCGUUCGCUCCGUCGUCACUUGAUCCCUGGCUGUCGACGAGAGCAGUCGCAUCGGUCUGCACUCCUACUGUGAGCUGUCCUAACUUGCCCAGACAUGCCGUGAUGACGUCACAGCUGACGUCACAGGAUGUCCGGAACUGGUGGUCAUAGCUGCGAUGCUUUGCAACCUGCUUCUGUGCUCCGUCACCCAGCGACGGUCAGCGGCCUUUCCGGACCGCUUUCUUCAAGAUGGCGCCGUUGAUCUUCAAUUAAACUCCUUCUCUCCACUCUAUUUCUAUCUAUUUUUUUAUUUUUUAUGGACUCUCACGGUGCACAACGCUCAGCUGGUCUGGACACGAGUUAGACUUUCCCCAAUUAGUGUGGUGGCUCCCUGGAGGGUGCUGAUUAAUGUGGGGGGUCCCAAUUAGCUCUAAUUGCCAAUUAAAUCGUGUUCAGGCCAGUUGGGCGUUGUGCACCGUGAGAGUCCAGUACUUACUACUCGUUACCAGCUUGUCACACUCAUAUGCUGGAAGGAUCACAAGUCUUUUGUCCGAUGGUACCAACCAACAUAGAAGGAUAUGGCUCCGUUCAUGCCUUCCGGGACAGUGGCUCCAAGUUGACCAUCAUUUCAGACAUCAUCGCCACUAACAGACCAGUAACUCCAUGGAAUGGACCCCCUUGUCUGUAGUUGGUGGUGGACACGUUACUCCUGUAGGGACUACGCCCAUCACGGGUGAAUAUUGGUUCCUAGCCGCCCAAGCAGAACUUCACGUCAAACCGCCCCACCCUUCAGAAAUACGUCACCCACCGUCUGGAACUGCCAUACUCUGCGAGGAGAAACUAGUUCCCAAAACGCUCCACGCAGUUGUUUUACAGUUACCAGCUUUGGGCAUAUUCACCGAAUCACCUAGCGCAGGACAAAGGACUCCGCUCCGAACACAUUUUCCCAGCGGAGAAGACAGAGUGGACAAAACUAAACUGCUUAGUGCAUGGGCCAGCUGAGUCAAAUGAGUUAGCUACCGAAGACAGUCCACCGCUCUCUGAAGUCAAAUUCGGAGCACAGUUGUCAACAGACGAGCAAGACAAGCUCAUAGCAGUUUUGAACAAGCAUACAAAUGCUUUCGCCAGAAGUGACGACGACCUCGGUCUCUACACGGCCACUGAGCACACAAUUCAGCUCGUUGAAGGACACCAGCCCUACAGCCUUACAAGAACCAGUUAAAGACAUAUGCUCGAAAAUGGCUCACGGAUCCAAAGGCCUCUACACAGUUCUCGAAAAGAGAACACCAUACACCUACAAGAUGGUAUGCAUAAACCCAAGCUCACCAAGAAGCAAGUCGGAACAACGUAUAGCCCAUAUCAGCCAAAUCAAGCCUUAGAAGGCACCCUAUCAAGACCCCUUCUUGUUCCGCCACACAAACCAACAAGACGAAAGCGACGACGGAAGGAAGUCCCCGGCACCUCCAUGAACAAAGCCGGCAACCUCCACAAAAGGGACAUCGUAUACGUGGACGACUCCAACCAAUCUCAUAAACGAGAACUCUACUGUGACUUUGUGUGACUAACUUGUGUUAGUUUUCGUAAUUUUAAAGGGUUUAUUUUGUUUUAUGCCGAGAGGGCUCGUCAAUUUUUCAAGAAGGGUAGGAUGUGAGUAUGGAAGCAGCGCAAGCGUAGAAGACGACGACUCGAGAAGACGAGCGCGUGAUACAACCAAGUGUAAAUUCAAUCCACACCAUCUUGGCGAAUGUAAGUCGUAGAAUAAAGAGGCGUUUACUUCGACGCCUGU